rnacentral:rRNA from 1 species
CAGUAGCCGCGGUAAUACGUAGGUGGCAAGCGUUGUCCGGAUUUAUUGGGCGUAAAACGAGCGCAGGCGGUUUCUUAAGUCUGAUGUGAAAGCCCCCGGCUCAACCGGGGAGGGUCAUUGGAAACUGGGAGACUUGAGUGCAGAAGAGGAGAGUGGAAUUCCAUGUGUAGCGGUGAAAUGCGUAGAUAUAUGGAGGAACACCAGUGGCGAAGGCGGCUCUCUGGUCUGUAACUGACGCUGAGGCUCGAAAGCGUGGGGAGCAAACAGGAUUAGAUACCCCAGUAGUCCCUGUCUCUUAUAC